AGAUGGCGCCGGCGGAAGUGGACGUGCGUGCGUCCUUCUAGCCGUUCUACCCUUUUCCCCUUCUCCUUCCCCCCUCUCCUCCGAUUCUUCCCGAGUCGGGAGGAGCGGAGGGGGGGUGGACAGCCAGCCAGUGCAGCCAACGGCAACGGCACCGCCCCUAGAGGUGAAGCUGGAGGGCAGAGCUUCCCAUCGAACGGGCGGAGAGGGGCCUCCCACCAAGGGGGCGGCACCUCUGCCACUCUCAGAGGGUGUUUUUCCUACUUCAUGAAGGAACCUUUUCCCAGUGCGCCAGAGACAUUCUUCCCCUAUCACUGGGUAACUUUAUGAUGCCUGUAUCCCCAAUCGUCUGUUCUGUUUGUGCUGUACAUUAAGUCCUGUGCCUUUAAGACUGGUUCUAAGAGCAAGGAGAAGCGCGGAGUUUGUUUUGAGAAAACUGCCUGACUCCUCCACAUUCUUCUGUGGACAGCGUGUUCGGCGGAGGCUUGGAGAGACGGCAGGACAGAGAUCUUGUUUUGCUUUUAGUUAGUUUCAGCUAGCUAGGGCAGAGAAGUUCCCUGGACUGUUUUUUUUCCUUUUUCUUGGAACUGUUUAAACCUGCUCUGGACUGAAAACCCAGGGGAGCACUGGGGGCUGCACCUGCGGCCCACCGGGGCCUGGACCUCGGCAUUUUCCAGCAGCGCCGGAGAGACUGGGACUGAGGAGAGUCCGAGAGAGAG